GACCACAUCACGUUGGAACACCGGAUCACUGAAGUUAAGCCCCGUCGAGCUUGGUCAGUACCUAGAUGGGUGACCGAUUGGGAAUACCGGGUUCUGUAAG